rnacentral:rRNA from 1 species
UACGAAGGGGGCUAGCGUUGCUCGGAAUCACUGGGCGUAAAGGGUGCGUAGGCGGGUCUUUAAGUCAGGGGUGAAAUCCUGGAGCUCAACUCCAGAACUGCCUUUGAUACUGAAGAUCUUGAGUUCGGGAGAGGUGAGUGGAACUGCGAGUGUAGAGGUGAAAGUUCGUAGAUAUUCGCAAGAACACCAGUGGCGAAGGCGGCUCACUGGCCCGAUACUGACGCUGAGGCACGAAAGCGUGGGGAGCAAACAGG